GACGAACGCUGGCGGCGUGCCUAAUACAUGCAAGUCGAGCGGAAGUUGGAGAGCUUGCUCUUCAACUUUAGCGGCGGACGGGUGAGUAACACGUGGGCAACCUGCCCUGCAGAUCGGGAUAACUCCGGGAAACCGGUGUUAAUACCGAACAGUUUUCGCCACCUCCUGGUGGCGUACGGAAAGACGGUUUCGGCUGUCACUGCAGGAUGGGCCCGCGGCGCAUUAGCUAGUUGGUGGGGUAACGGCCCACCAAGGCGACGAUGCGUAGCCGACCUGAGAGGGUGAUCGGCCACACUGGGACUGAGACGCGGCCCAGACUCCUACGGGAGGCAGCAGUAGGGAAUCUUCCGCAAUGGACGAAAGUCUGACGGAGCAACGCCGCGUGAGUGACGAAGGUUUUCGGAUCGUGAAACUCUGUUGUGAGGGAAGAACAAGUACCACUUAACUACUGGUACCUUGACGGUACCUCACCAGAAAGCCACGGCUAACUACGUGCCAGCCGCCGCGGUAAUAC
rnacentral:rRNA from 1 species